GCCGAAGUAGCUCAGUGGUAGAGCGAAGGUUUGAAGAACCUUGCGUCGCCAGUUCGAUUCUGGCCUUCGGCA
rnacentral:tRNA from 1 species